UACGUAGGGGGCAAGCGUUAUCCGGAAUUACUGGGUGUAAAGGGAGCGUAGACGGUAAUGUAAGUCUGGAGUGAAAGGCGGGGGCCCAACCCCCGGACUGCUCUGAAAACUAUGUUACUAGAGUGCAGGAGAGGUAAGCGGAAUUCCUAGUGUAGCGGUGAAAUGCGUAGAUAUUAGGAGGAACGCCAGUGGCGAAGGCGGCUUACUGGACUGUAACUGACGUUGAGGCUCGAAAGCGUGGGGAGCAAACAGG
rnacentral:rRNA from 1 species